GAAUGCGAGGCUCAAGGCGUCCCUUCCCAGUUUGAGAGUUAACCCGUGGGGACGCUGGGCCCCACCCCUCGGGGGUCUCCCUCCUCCCUCGGCUGCCUUUGGGGCGGGAGAAGAAGGCGGCGCGUCCCAUUGAAAGCUUCACCCGGAGCCCGGCAAUUGCGCUCAGCGUCGGCAAAGAAGGCGAAGGCGCUUCGGAGAUGCUCAGCAAGCGGCGCGUCUUCUCGGUGGAGGAGCCCACCUGGAACCGAGGCAGUGCCUGGCGGUCCGGAGAGAGCAGCGUGGUGUUAACGUCGGUCAGGAUGUACCGGAAGCAUCCGGAUCCUCAGGCUCAGGUGUCCCUUAGCUUGGAGCUGGGCAACAAGACGACCCCGAAGGUGGACAGAUGGGGCGAGGCCGGCUCCCCGACGGACCCUGCCCCCCACCCGCUGAUCUUCCUUUCCACCAGCGGAAGGCUCCUCAAAUCCGAAUCGGAGGACUCCGGCGUGGAGAUGGCUAGCAAUGACCACUCGCCGUCGAGCCCCGUGGGCUCCGAGGAAAGCUUCUCCUUGGAUGGUUUCCAACCAGCGGUAGAAGAUUCUCCACCUCCAGUUUCUCUCGAAGAAAAAGGACCGGGGGUACAGAACCCUAUCCAGGAUUGCACUUACCUCCGGAGUCUCUCCGUCAGUAGAAAAUUGGCACAAGUGGUCCAACGAUCUCAGAAGCAUCGCUUGCCCGGUCAGCGGCCUCGCAGCCUCGUGGACUUGGAGCAGAUGAAGUCCUUUCGCUUGCCCCAGCUGGCCAGUGUUGAUGGGAUUGUUGACAUGGCCAACGGAGAUGAUCGGGAAAUAUUUGGCUGCAAAACCUUGGAAGAGCACAGCAUAGAGGAACAGGUGCCAGAUGAGCCUUCACUUUCUAUGCCUGGACAGGGUCUGCGAUACCUGGAGCACAUCUGCCAGAUGCUGGAAAAGAUUGCCCACCUCCAGCGGGCCAACAUGCGGCUUCAGCAUCAGCAGCAGAUCAUGGAGUGCAAGAUCCGGGCUCAGAAACUGGAGAAUGAAGGCUUUUCAGAAGAAGCAGCUGAAGACUCUGAGCUGGUGGAGCCAGCAAAUGCAGCAGCUUCGGAGAUGGAGAAAGAACCGGAUGGGGAAAAUGACUCACCCGACUCCUGGCACCCACACCAUUUCCGGGCACGUUCUGCUUCCGAUACACGGAUGCUACGGAGCCCAGCCCGAAACCAUGCAGCAAACAAGGCCGACUACUCAAGGAAGUCAGCAACCCACUCCGCCAGCUCUCCCAACCUCCUGGAUCAGUUGGAUGGCGGCUCUCAUACGUUACCAGCAAACAUAAAGGUCAAGAAUGAUCACUCCAAUUGGGGCAAAGUCAAAGUGCUGAUCAAUAGGAUGAAAAGGAAGUCCUUGCGGUCCAAUGAAUCAGGUUCCCUUGACCAACUUGCACCAGGCAGCAGUGAACAGUGCAGAGAAGACACGCUUUUAGACAAACAAGAACCCAUCCUUAGGCGGCGUUUUCUGCCCGCUCUGGGGACAAAGAAACGCCGUUCAAAGCAUCUGUCCAUUCGGUGAGCUUCGAGUUCCUUUGGAGAUAUGAAAGAUUGAUGGUGCUGAAUUCAGUACGGUUCUGGUCCUUUCCUUCAUCUGCCCAGCAAGGAUCCAGUCUUCUCUGGUGGAAGAGAAGAAAAGGAUGAGAGACUUUCAGUCACAAGUGAGCCAACAUCCCCAUCUUCUAUGAUGGAGAAAGAAGGGCUUGGAAUUUUCCGUCGCAAACCAGACAUGUCCAGAUAUUUCUGUGCAAUGUCUCCCUCAUAUUGCUACCUGCAAACCCAACUUCGCAAACUGGUCACAAACUCUUCGAAGAAAUUUCUCCUGUCUGGUGUUAAUUGUAGUUGUAUGUUACAGAGGCACUGAUAACACAAGUCGUGGUUCAAUCUGGAUUUGCAAGCUAUGGUUGCAAAGGAACCUGGCUGCAAUAACCAUGGAUACUGGAAACACGUUUUCUUCAAAUGUACAAUUUGAUAGCUCACUUUGGCCCAGCUCCACCUCAUGCAAACCAUGGUUAUUGCUAAGCAGGUUCUCUGCAAACCAUGGUUUGAACCAGACCUAUCUAAGGGGUCAAUCCGUGAUUUCAUUUUUUCCCAUAUACAUUUUAGGUGGAACUGGGUCCUGAUUUGCAAAUCACUGUUUGCAAGGCAAUGUAUUCAUUCGGUCACCCAAGCUUUCUGUUUACUCCUCACCCACUUCACUUUUAAAUGCACUGUGAUUGGGACUGAUCUCUCUGAGGCUGGUUCUCUGGAGAAAACUGGUUUUGGGCCUGUAUCUCCCAAAAUACAAUUCACAUAGUGUCUCCAUGCUGUGUGCUUUUUCCUAGAGGUAUAUUCUUUCUCAUCAUGGCUCUAUAAUUUCCAAGGCUGGUUAGGUUUGCUUACAUGAAAUGUUUACAUGAGCCAUUUGCAGAUGAAGAAGGCGGCUUAGGAGGAAACCCUCUCUUCUCCGUAUCUCUUGUCAUUGCAUCUCCAACAGGAAAUCCCUGUGUCACCAAAUGUGAAAUAACUUAUUGGUUCUCCUUAACCCUCUCCCCGCCCCAAUUAAAACAGUGGUCAAAGACCUCUUGCUAUGCCUACAGCCAUAUAACUUCACAUAUGGAGUGAAUCUUGUAUAUUUAUAUGACUUUUUGGUCACACCUAUAUUUGUAUGUAGAAUGCAUGUAUGCUCCAGAUUAAAAAAAUAAAACCUUUUCCAUACUUUUAAAUUUGACAGUAAUUUUUUUAACAGCCCAGUUGCCCUCCCUUCUUGUGGAUGUGUGGAUUUGCUUUGUUACAGAAGAACAUGAGCAGGUAUCUGAUGGAUCAUAAUAAUAAUAAUAAUAAUAAUAAUAAUAAUAAUAAUAAUAAUAAUUUUAUUCUUAUACCCCGCCCCAUCUCCCCAAGCCCGAAUAGAACAAUAAAAACAAGACAAGAAACCAAUGAAACAUGAUUUCCACAGGUUUGUGUCCAAGAUAAUCUGUAGCAUGCUAAAUCUGUGUGAUAGCUUGUCUAUCACUCCACAUAACUGUUAUAUAGACCAUUAUAUGGCCCCAUGUAAGCCGCCCCGAGUCCCCAUUGGGGAGAUGGUGGCGGGGUAUAAAUAAAGUUUUAUUAUUAUUAUUAUUAUUAUUAUUAUUAUUACUCCUCUCCAUGGGAGCAUAAAUCACAGGUUUUAUGAAGCACAGGCUGAACAUAUUUUAGCCAGAAUUCCAAAAUUUGAAAUACAGUAGAGUCUCACUUAUCCAAGCUAAGCAGGCCGGCAGAACCUUGGAUAAGUGAAUAUAUUGGAUAAUAAGGAGGGAUUAAGGAAAAGCCUAUUAAACAUCAAAUUAGGUUGUGAUUUUACAAAUUAAGCACCAAAACAUCAUGUUAUAAACAAAUUUUACAGAAAAGGUAGUUCAAUUCGCAGUAGUGUUAUGUUGUAAUUACUGUAUUUACAAAUUUAGCACCAAAAUAUCAUGAUAUAUUGAAAACAUUGACUACAAAAAUGCCUUGGAUAAUCCAGAACCUUGGAUAAGCGAGUCUUGGAUAAGUGAGACUCUACUGUACUCCAAAAGCGUCUACAUGGGUGGCUGAGAUAGCGACACUUUGUUUUCUGAUUGUUUAUUGUACACAAACUUUGUUUCAUGCGCAAAAUUACUAAAAUAUUAUAUAAAAUGAUCUUUAGGCAAAUUAUAACCUGGUGGCGCAGCGAGUUAAACUGCUGAGCUGCUGAACUUGCUAACCAAAAGGUCGGUGGUUCAACUCCGGGCAGCAGGGUGAGCUCCCGCUGUUAGCCCCAGCUUCUGCCAACCUAGCAGUUCAAAAACAUGCAAAUGUGAGUAGAUCAACAGGUACAGCGCUCCAUGAAGUCAUGCCGGCCACAUGACCUUGGAGGUGUCUACGGACAACGCCGGCUCUUCAGCUUAGAAAUGGAGAUGAGCACCAACCCCCAGAGUUGGUCACGACUGGACUUAACGUCAGGGGAAAACCUUUACCUUAAACCUACUGUAUUCAAAAACAACCCUUCGGGGUGAGAAGGGCGGAAUAUAAAUACUUCAAAUAAAUAAAUAAAUAAAUAAAUAAAUAAAGUGAGUAGAUCAAUAGGUACAGCGCUCUAUGAAGUCAUGCCGGCCACAUCACCUUGGAGGUGUCUAUGGAUAACGCUGGCUCUUCAGCUUAGAAAUGGAGAUGAGCACCAACCCCCAGAGUUGGUCACGACUGGACUUAACGUCAGGGGAAAACCUUUACCUUAAACCUACUGUAUUCAAAAACAACCCUUCGGGGUGAGAAGGGCGGAAUAUAAAUACUUCAAAUAAAUAAAUAAAUAAAUAAAUAAAUAAUGUGAGUAGAUCAAUAGGUACAGCGCUCUAUGAAGUCAUGCCGGCCACAUCACCUUGGAGGUGUCUAUAGAUAACGCUGGCUCUUCAGCUUAGAAAUGGAGAUGAGCACCAGCCCCCAGAGUCGGUCACGACUGGACUUAACGUCAGGGGAAACUUUUACCUUUACCUUAAAGGUCACAUUUAAAGUCCAUAUUUGCACCAAAGGCACAGGAGACACCUCUAGUGGUCAAUAAAUCCGCGCAUGCGCAGCAAAGCACAGACGCGCUCUCGCUUGUCUCUGAGCGACAAUCUCGGCUCCGCAUGCGCAGAACGGGACGCGAAGCCUGCUUCCGGGUAGGGCUUCACUCCGGGCAGGAGCGCUUCCUGCGCGCGGCGUUUCCGUUGGCGAGCAACAUCCGUUGAUGGCGUUUCCGGGCCCCUUUGUCUUCGGCGCCGCAGCCGGGCUUGGCAGGCGGCGAGAGGGUCUUCGCGGCGCCUUGGAGUUCCCUCAGAGGGGAAGACGCCCCGGGACCCGGCCUUGGACCCUGGGCCGCCUUCUUUCUUCAGUGAGAGCGGCCUUUUUGGAACAGGUGCUUCCCUCAGGCUUGGGUUUGGUGCGAGCAUUUAGAGCAGGCCAGGACGAGGCCUUGAGGCCUGUUCUUGAGUAGG
ensembl:lncRNA